AUUGAACGCUGGCGGCAGGCCUAACACAUGCAAGUCGAGCGAGCGGCGGACGGGUGAGUAAUGUAUGGGAAACUGCCCGAUGGAGGGGGAUAACUACUGGAAACGGUAGCUAAUACCGCAUACCAUCAGAUGUACCCAGAUGGGAUUAGCUAGUAGGUGGGGUAAAGGCUCACCUAGGCGACGAUCUCUAGCUGGUCUGAGAGGAUGACCAGCCACACUGGAACGGAGACACGGUCCAGACUCCUACGUGAGGCAGCAGUGGGGAAUAUUGCACAAUGGGCGCAAGCCUGAUGCAGCCAUGCCGCGUGUAUGAAGAAGGCCUUCGGGUUGUAAAGCACUUUCAGCGAGGAGGCGUUACUCGCAGAAGAAGCACCGGCUAACUCCGUGCCAGCAGCCGCGGUAAUAC
rnacentral:rRNA from 1 species